rnacentral:lncRNA from 7 species
CAAAUGGAAUGGAUGAAAUCAUUUUCAUAUUAUAGGGGAUAUCAUUAGCGUUAUGUGAAAGCAAGCAUGUUUGACAAAUAGCUAAUGAGGCAUGAGUUGAUGCUCAUGAAAAUGUCUCGUAGAGGAAGUCACAGGGCCCGGCGGCGGGGACCGGUGGAGCGCGACGUCGUGUGGCGCCCAGCCACCGCGCGCGCCCGCCCGAGCCCGACGACCGAGCUAGCUAGGCGACGUGACGUGGACACCUUUUUGGCGACCUCCGCAAAAACAGGACCACCUUUCUGACUCGCCGCCGGCGGUGACUACUGACUGCCCGGACGUACACGUACUACGUGGACGCGCGUGGGAGGAGCCUUCUUGGCUGCUUCGUCGUCCGUGCUUAUUCCAGGACAGUGACGGCCGGAGACGACGCUAGGGACGGGACGGGACGGGAC